AAGGUCGGGAGGGCGUUGCCCGGCCUUGAGUGAGUGAGCGACCGAGCGAUGUCAGCUUGUGCGUACAUCAAGCUAUAUAUAAAAACACAUUUCUUAUCACUUAAUGCAACUUGGAGAGUGAUUGAGUGCACUACACGUACUAGCUGCCGAGGAGGGCUAUCACAAUUGGACUGCAUACUCCACAGAGGUCACCGCUAACAUUAUUGAUUCAUUUUCUCACCUCACUACUCAUAAGCAGUUGUGCUCUCGUGAAGGAACCUUACCUGCAUCGAGAAAAUCAUAGCCGAGGUGCUAGCUGAGAGAAGCCUAUCCGAUUAUUUCAUUUCGUCAAAUCAACACAU
rnacentral:lncRNA from 1 species